ACCAGCGGACGGGGCGGGGCGUCGCCCGCGUAUCCAGACUGGCAAUUGGUGUCCAACAGAGGCGCUUAUCAGCACUACCAAGUCUGAAUAGAAACUGUGCAUGCGCGUUGCGUAUUUUGGUGGAACCCACAGGUGAGGGAAAGGUGAGGGUCCCCGUGAGCACGAUUCCAUCUCGGCCCUCACCGCGUGGAGCCUCGUGUUCAUAUCGGACAUCACUCUCGCCUACUCUGCAGCGGGAUCUUGAAGGUCGUGAGGCGGUGGCCGAACAUCUGGUUGAGGAGAUCCCGCUGCGACUGGGCCGACUUGCAGCUGGCGGGCAGCGCUGGCCGUGGCCUCGCGGUGUGAGGGCCUCCCGUGCGACUCCCGCCACAGAGGGAAUCAAGCAGCGGCCUCCUGUGGGGCCCCGGCACCUCGCGCGAGGAGUGGCUCGAGAAGAAGGCCGUGUAGAGGGUGCCGACGCUGGACCUGGAGUCUUCAAGGUCGCUGCUUGCGCCAGCAGACGAGCUCGUACCGUUGACAUUUCCAGCGGACGUUCCACUAAAAGUUCCACUGACGUUUCCGCCACUCGCACCAUUGAGCUUUCUGCCGGACACUCCAUCACCACUUCCAAAACUAGCACCGUAAAUUUUUCCACUGAUAUUUCCACCACCGGUUCCACCAGCAUUUCCACCUCCAGCAAUGUUAACUUUUUCACUAGAAACUCCACCACCAACAUUUCCCCCACCAGUUCCACCAAUCCCGCCACCAGUACCACCAUUUCCACUGCCACUCACGGUGACGUUUCCAACGCCAGUACCUCUGCUGCCAGUUCCACCACCGACUCCACCGACAUAUCCUCCCCCACCACCGCAGGUUCUGCUUGGAUACGACCUCCACAUUGCAGUAGACAAGUGCCAACUGCGACGCAUAUUAAGGAGGAUGAUGGUUCUUGCCUUCUGCCUGGACUGGGUGGAGGACUGAAAGCAUUGGAUAUACUGCAGACCAUGUCGCUGUGGUGUGGCCUGACCCAGGUGAGGAUCAGUGACGGAGUGGUUAGCGCGCCACGUCACGAACACAGAGACCUGAGUUGGAUUCUCAAUCACGGUUAACACCAGCCGCGAACGAUCUGCGAACCGAGGCCACGGGGAAUUCGACUCCACGAAGCACCGCGCGGCUCCUGGGCGGCACCAGCAGCAGCAGCAGCGAGCGGCAGCAGAGAAGCCGGAUGAAGCAAAACGCUUCCGAGAUCUUCCCGGAGCCUGCUCGGGGCCUUCUGGAGCCACGGUAUCCAAAUCCAGCCAGGACUUCUCUUCCCAACAAAAACACAACGCGUUUCACAUGGCGAAGUAUUUGAGGUUCUGGCAGCUUCUCCGCCCAAGAGAGAACUACCCAGGGCUACAGCAGCAGCAACAUCGUCAUCAUCUCCACGAUCAUUAUCACGACCACCAUCAUCAUAAGCGCAGCAAAGCUUCUGGACAUGAGUGCAUGAGGCAGGCACUGAUCAAGAGAUCCCUGAGACUUCCUGGUGCUCGGUUAUUGUGCUUCACGUGGACUGAGUGUGAAACCUCACCUGGGGAAUCUCACCUGGGGGACCCUACCUGCUUACCCCACAUCACUGAUAGUGUGCCCCCCAUCACCCCCUCACCACCACCAAACACUGAUCCUGGGAUGGAUAACAUCUGGGCAUCUGUGAAAUACUGAACAUAUGUGAAAAAGAGCUUUAUAGCUCAUCGGACUUCUCCAGUAUAAAUAAAUAUUCUGAUUCUAAGA